rnacentral:lncRNA from 1 species
CGCCGGUCUAAAUCGUUACUUGGCGGAAAGUUCCCAUGAGUCUUUGCCAGCGUCCCCCUCCUUUUGUGAGGAUUGGGAUAUUCCGACUCCUUAAGGGCCUGGCGCACAUAAGGUGUGACCUUUUCAUUCCCGUUGUUAUGGAGGGCCACAUCUGCCAGAGCCUGGAGUCUGCGAAGGCCGGGACCCGGUUCCCCGGCCCACAGUGGGGGUGUGCAAACCCGAGAGAACUGGUCGCUGAAACCUCUACAACUUAGUUGACCGUAACUGCCAGAGCCCUGCCCUGAAUUCCUGUCCUUACUCCCUCUUUAAGAUUGCGUACCCACUGCAGAGUGCUGAAGACGGGGUAGCCACGAGGUUGCAAAUUCGUGAAGAAUCAGCAUCAUGUUUGGCAGCUGAGUAUUGGAGCCAGGAGCCUGCCAUGAGGUUUUGAGAACAGAGUGCUGUUUUAGAGCUGGCAGCAGCAUCUCAGCCCAAGAGAAGGUUAUAUUCCCAGAGGAUGUCAGUCCCAAGGACCAGUAGCUGCCAUCAGUUUGGAUUCUGAAAACUAACUGGCAUCAACACUGGGUGUAGAAACAUGCUUGCCUUAUGUAUCAGAGGACAUGCUCAGCAGAUCCAAGAGAUAUAUUUGGCAACUUUUUCUAGAAAAGGCACAUUGGGUAUCAUUCAUUACAUUCUUGAGUUUUUUUGGGUUUUUUUUUUUUUUUUUGAGACAGUCUUGCUGUAUUGCCCAGGCUGGAGUGUGGUGGCACAAUCACAGCUCAUUGCAUCCUCAAUCACCCAGGCCUAAGCAAUCCUCCCACCUUGUAGCUGGGACUACAGCUCACAGCACACCUGGCUAAAAUUUUUUUUUUGUUGAGACGGAUUCUCUAUGUUGCCCAGGCUGGUCUCAGGCUCCUGGGCUCAGAUGGUCCUCCUGCCUCAGCUUCCAAAGGCACAGGCCAAGUUGUAGCUUUGUCCCUUGCCAUCAUGCCCAACAAGAGGUUCUAUACCUUUUAAUGAAUUGACUUUCAUAAAUUGGUUAUGUUGGUGGGCAAAGUUCUUUAAGCUGGAAAUUGUAAAUUCCUCCUGAAAUGUUUUUUCAUGCAGUUACCAUGAACUAAUACUACAAUAAAGGAUGGUCUUGGGUGUCAAUUCUUGAAAAUGUGUAUUUGAAGAAAAAGUAAAUUUCGCCUACUGUUGUCAGAUAUUAGCAGUCCAGAUAUUCGCUCUAGCUUGUAAACUUCCCUGUGGUCAGCCUAAGCUCUUAACCCCCUAUUCUACAGCUUUAGACUGAAGGCAAAAGCUCAAAGCAUUUAAGGCCUCCUCAAUUUCGGCCCCUGCUGCUCUGUGCUCUGUUCCUUGGUGUAGCUUUGUUCCAGCUCCUGCAGCAUUGCACCAUUCCUAACCACAACCUUAACAGCAUGUAGGGCCCCAUACUCUAGGCCCCAUCUUGCUGUCUUCCUGUGUUGGAAUCUUGCCUACCAAGGCCUGUCAAGAGGGUCCUCCCCCAUACUGUUUGCCCACAAGGUUCAAGAGUGAUUGGCUCCCAGUCUUCCUGGACUGAACUACUUGGAUCUAGGGGUUGCCUGUUAUUUAGAAGAGAUCCCUUAACUGGUAGGGCCCUUUCAGUAGGACAGUAUUUGGGUAAGGGGAGGGUAUAAGAUGAGAACCUUUGCUAAGUUAGGUUCCUUUGGGAGCCUCCAGUUUGUUUCUCCCUCUCCCCAGCCAUCUUGUUGGAUCUGCCAAGGGAUUGGACUCCUUCAUUGUCCUAGGUUUUUAAGGUUUUAAAGCCCACCUUCUGCAGUCGGUUUUCUGGAAUGUGUUGGUGGAUUACUUAAGAGUUAUGGGGAAAGAGUUCUUACGGCCUGUCUAGGUCAGUGAAGUCAUACUGGCAAGUGACAAGAAGGAAGCCAGGUUUGUCACUUACCCUGCAUGCUAAGGACAUCAGAGCCCACAUAGAAGUCUGGUAGUUUUUCAGCCAGCAGUGGGUAGGGAAGGUGGAUAGGGGAUUUCUGAACAGGACUUUAUGCCUGUAUGCAUGGGCACCAUGUCUGUCCUGAGCACUACCACAUGGCAUCGUAGGCUGCUCUGUCAAAGGAUAUAGCGAUAGCUGGUCCUAUGGGCAGAUGCCUAGAAUCAAGGUGGGCCUCAGAAAUAGGGCUGGGUCUCCAUAAGGAGGUAGGCCACGUUCAGUCCACCCCUAGCAUAGAUGGAACUGGGGUCUCGGGCAACCAGGAGUUACAGGAAUUUUGCUAAAGAUUCCCACCUUCCUUGAGUGGGGACACAUUCCUCUGGUUGGAGCUUGUUCCCCUAAAUGAAAAAUGUAAUGCAGUACAUGUAGGGGCCCUACUGUAUUCUUUUUCUGGGGGAAAGCUCUUGGUGUUCACAAUGGCUCAGGCUUACAGUACCUCCAGCCAUGUGCCCAUUUCCACAAGUCUUUGGGGAAGGCCAUGAGCUGAGCUGAGAGGGUUCUCUGGGGCCUGGGAUGACUUAAGAACCAAAUGGCAGAUAAUGGGAUAGGGGGCAGAUGCAGAGGACCAACGGGAAGUUUUAACACAAAUCCCCUUCCCCAGAUGAUAUGGUUUGCCUUUCUGUAGGUGGGUGGCCCAGGCCAAUUUUUGGCAAUAUCCUUAACCCACCUGAU